UAAGACGGAGGGGGCUAGCGUUGUUCGGAAUUACUGGGCGUAAAGCGUGCGUAGGCGGCCAUUCAAGUUGGGUGUGAAAGCCCGGGGCUCAACCCCGGAAAUGCGCCCAAGACUGUUUGGCUAGAGUCCGGGAGAGGUGAGUGGAACUCCGAGUGUAGAGGUGAAAUUCGUAGAUAUUCGGAAGAACACCAGUGGCGAAGGCGGCUCACUGGACCGGUACUGACGCUGAGGCACGAAAGCGUGGGGAGCAAACAGGAUUAGAUACCCUGGUAGUCCACGCCGUAAACUAUGAGAGCUAGACGUUGGGGGGCUUGCCCCCCUGUGUCGCAGCUAACGCGUGAAGCUCUCCGCCUGGGGAGUACGGCCGCAAGGUUA
rnacentral:rRNA from 1 species